UUUUUGGGGGGGGUUGGUUGGUUUUUGGUGGUUUGUUUUGUUUUGUGGGAUUUUUCUUUUUGUUUGGAUUAUUUUUCCCCUCAGUUUCUCUGUGUUUGUGUCAUUAUCUCUUUCCUGCCACAGUUUAGUCAUUUUCACAUGUUGGUGUCAAGUCACUGGUCCCAGAUAUUUUGAAUGUAAUUGCCUAUCUAGGGAAAAUCUGUGAUUCAGGUUUACCCUGAGCAGAGUUUUUAUACUUCAUUGCUUGUUAUGAUCAAGAAUGUGUUUGAGUUCCUCUAAAAUAAGCUUUUCAGGGUGGUUUUGUGAAAGUUUUUUGCAGCAAGGUGCAACCUGUUUCCUGCCAGAGUUGUACACCUGUCUGCUUAAUGUUUAAUUUACACAGUCCAUCUCCCAUUAAUGCAGAGUGGAGAGUGUCACUUGAAUUUUAUAGUGAUUUCAGAGCUUAGAUCUCUCAUGUCUGCUUGCUACAUACUUUGAUCUUCUGUGAAAUCAUCAAAGGUGAUGCUGCAAAGAUUUCCAGCCUUUGCAAGACCUGAGUUGCAGAGUAGUGUGGAACUGAAGUGCUGACUGGGGAGGCCUGUGUUACAAGAAAAAAAACAAAACCCCAGGGAAAACUCCAGCAUUGUUUCCUAUUAAGGAUUUUAGUGCUGCUAGAAAAAAGUAUACUACUGUAUCCAAAUUGUGAGCAUAGAUUAAAGUUGCUGGCUUGCUGGAAGUGAAGUAUUGAAUUCCAAAUAAUGUAGUGAGAAAUAAUGUGUUUUGAGGUCACUAGUGAUUUUAAUUUUAAUUUUUUUCAAGGGGAGAUCAGGAACAGGCAGAAUUGUAGGGUGAGUUGCUUUUAGUUUUGUUCAAAAAGCUGAAAUGUAUUGUUGUUCAAGAUACAUAAAUGCAGAUGCAAACAGAGUGUAUAGUUGCUGCUUCCUUGUUUGACAGUGUGUCAGUGCACUUCAGUUGAGGGAUUGAUUUUUUACACUGAAAAAUGUAACAGGCAGCUCUAUAAAUUUGGGUCAGUCGGUGUCUUUCUCACAAGCACAGGUUGCAGUGACUCUUUAAAGUUACUGGUGUUCAUUUUGGGAAUAGUAAUGGGUGUUUAAAUAUGCCCUUGUUCAACUUCUGGAGGAUGAAUCAUUCUGAGGAGGUGUUGAUGUGGUUCAAAGUCAAAACCAGGAUUUGACUUCCCACCUAUGCAGACUUUUUCUGAAACAUCCAUACUAAUAUUACUGGAAUUUUAAAUUUUCUUGUGGAUACUUUGAUAGUCUGUUAACUUGUUUUAUCUGAAUUUAUGUGAUGAGCCCAAAGAAAACUCUAGAGCUACUGAAAGCAUGUUAAACCAGUAAUUUGAGGAUCAUUUUCAGCUUUUCUCAGUAUCUGAGCUGAUGAGAAUUUCUGGGACAGCGGGCAAAUGUCAGUACCAGCAGAAUUCCCUUCUGUGAAUGGUACAAUAACAAUUCCUAUGCAAGUUUGAUGUUUGAAUGUGAGAGGAUGGGGAUUUGGAUUUCUGGUAGAAACAGGAAUGUGUGGUCUGGCUGGAAAAGCUGAAAUUACUUUAUAGCCUCUAACUUUACUGUUCCCUUGAGAAUAGAUGAUCACAGACUUUGGAAUCAAUACAGUUCAUCAUCAAAUCCCCUUGGUUCAGUUUUCCUAUCAAUUAAUUAGGACAAAUUAUUUAUAUGGUCUAAAGAUGUUCUGAUGAUGACUCUAUUUACAUAGGAAUUUGGAGGUUUGGAAGUAUAUUUUAAUGACAGUUUGGCAUGGCAACUGGUAUUCAGUUAUCUAUUCUGAGAAUAAUACUGCCCACUAGAAGAAAUGUGGUUAAUGUUACUACAAUUAUGCCUAAGUCAUCUUCACUAAGGCUGAUGAAAAAGGAUAUUGUGUGUUAAAAGUGAUGGAGUUUAAGUGUGAUCUUAAUUUCUUUAGUCAGCACUUAUGGGAAUUUGUCAUGUGAUAUGGAAAGACGAGAAAUCACAAUGUGGAAAUUGUGUUAUCACAUCAAAGCUGGUUGAGGCAUUAGAAUGGCUUUUGUGCCUGAGCUUUGCUUGCUUGCAGUGCAAGAUGGGUGUGCAUUAGCUAGGACGUGGUGGAGGAGACAUUGUUUGCUAUAUUCCCACUGUCUAAAUCCCACUGAUUUUCCAGUAUCCCAAGGCAGGUAGGAUUGAAGCAUGAGUGCAGACAUGAAGGUAUGGUGACUCACACUAUGUAGUUGUAGACCUGGGCUCCUCAAGCAGCGCCCUGUGGUAAGACAGGUUCUGCAUGAGUUUCACCAGUGCCAGUGAGAUUGGCUGGGCUGGAGGUUCUCCCAGGGAACAUGGAGGGAGAACCUCCAUGUUCCCUGGGAGAACCUCCUGGGAGAAUCUUUCCCUUUUUCUUGAAGGUUGAUGUAACUUUAUAUGUCUGUUCUACACUUUGCCAAGGGCAGAGGCACCUUCCACUAUCCCGGGCUGCUCCAAGCCCCAUCCGGCCUGGCCUUGGAGACGUCCAGGGAUGGGGCAGCCACAGCUGCUCUGGGCACCCUGUGCCAGGGCCUUACACCCUCACAGGGAAGAAUUUCUCCCCAAUAUCCCAUCUAAUCCUGCCUGCAGUCAGUGGGACAGCAUCCCCCCUCGUACUGUCAAUCCAUGUCCUUGUCCAGAGUCUCUCGCCAGCUCUCUUUGAGCUGUUUUAGGUACUGCAAGGUGCUGGAAUUUCUUCCUGGAGCUUUCUCCAGGCUGAACAAACCCUAACUCUCUCAACCUGUGUCCACAGGGGUCCUUGCUUUUUACCUGUGGAUUUGAAGAAGAAAUUCUGUAGGAGACAAUCAUGUGUGUGUCUGUUGAUUUUUGUUUGCACUUGAAUUUUUAAUAUAUUUCAUAUUGAUUUAAAGCUAUAAAUUUGCAGAAGCCUGAGCCCUUCAUGGCUAGGCUUUGUGGGGUUCUCUGGGCAUCAAGGCUGUCUUGUGUUUUUGUAGUAAGUUCAAUAAAUAGUAAAUUAACUUCUGUCAUUAACUGAAGGAAAUCUUUCUGUUCAGGUUUAGGGAGAUUAACAGGAUUCUAUAGACACAGCUGAAAUUGAGGUUUCCUUGGUGUUUUUUAACACACUGAAAAUAUGAAAGUAGGUGGAUGAAGACCACUACCCAUUGAUGCUGGAGGAGAUAAACCACUAUGGAUGAUCUCUGUGGUAACUGUCAUAUCUGAAGAAGAAAAAACACCCAUUUUGAGGUCUUUAAAAAACAUACUCAGGAAAAGUUUGGCCCUGGUGAGUUGUGUAUCGUUGUAACUUCUGUGAGGAGUGAAAGUAGUAGGAAUGGUAAGUUUUGAAAUUUUCUUUUUGGGUUUUCUUUAGGCAGCUACUUCUGUACAUAGUAUGUGUAAAACAUAUGUAACGUAGGUAAAGCUCUAUGAUUUCUGAGAUGUGGAGUCAAAGUAAUUAUUGUGCAUGUCACUUGUGUUCCUUAAUACAUGGUAUUCCGUUUAAGUAAUGGAGAAAAGAGAACAGGUCAGCAAGGUAAAACAGUUGUACAAAGUAGUCUUGAUAUGUGUAAUAUGAAGUAUAUUAUGUACCAUCUCAUCCUGAUCUUGGUAGCAAAGGACCUACUGAUUAUACAGUAAAAUAUCUUAAAACAUUGCUGGCGCUAAAUACUGUUUGAGAUAUUCCCGGACACACAGAGUAAACUAAAACCAAACUUUUCAGUUGUGGGAUUUUGAAAUUAAACCCUGCUUAGGAUCUAAAAAUGUAAAUAAAAUGUUGUUAUGAGCUGCCUUUUGAGGAACCCUAUCCAUAGACUGCAUAGGACAUGUUUGUUCUAAAUGGGCACUGAACUAAAGAUAGAUGGUGGCAAUAUGCCACCUGCAGUCUUAUUCCAGGGCAUCUUCAGAAAUAUUCCCGAAGGUCAGAGCUCACCAUGAACUGCAGUUCCUCCUGAGGGGCAGCUCUGGUCUCUGUUCUCUGUGACCAGAGUGAGGACCUGAGAGCAUGGCUGGAGCUGUGUUAGGGCAGGUUUAGGUGGAUAUCAGGAAAGGCUCUUCUCCCAGAGGGUGCUCAGACAGUGCCCAGGCUCCCCAGGGAAUGGUUGUGGUCCCAGGGCCGCCAGAGCUCCAGGAGUGUUUGGGCAAUGUGCUCAGGCACGGGGUGGGAUUGUUGGGAUGUCCCGUGCAGAGCCAGGAGUUGGACUCAGUGAUCCUUGUUAGUCCCUUCCAACUCAGGAUAUUGUGUGAUUCCAUGUGGAAAUAAAGCCAAACCCAUCGCUUGGUCUGGUUUGGGUUUUUUUUUUGGGUUUUGCUUUUUUCCACAGUCAUGGUUUGUACCUCGGGUUGUUUUCAGUGUUUUAGCUGAAGUUUCAGUUCACAAGGGUUAUAGCACACUUCCCUCUCCAAGUGCACUAAUACAGGAUAGAAUUACAGGACUGAUUUAUGAAGUGGAUAACAGCUGUCAUGCUGAAUUGAUUGGUACAAGGAGAUGCUUUGCAGCCCCUGCAGAGAGGCUGGGUGCUAUCAAACUGUUGCCAUCAGAGUCUUACCUGCCCAUCUGAAUGUGCUUUUAGAGCGCUGUUUCCACACCAAGCUUUUGGAGAAUGGCGACUCCUUUCCCAAGCUGCCUGUUAAACUGCAGAGCCCAUCCUGAGCACUGGAGAUCUUAGAAGAAAGGGGAUGUUGCCCCAAACAUCAGCCCUGGACAUUUACAUACAUCAGGUUAAUUGCUAGUGUAGUAGAAGAAAUGCAGGUGAUCAGAAUGCCAGUGAACCCCAACCUAGCAGCUGCUAGUCAAAGAAUAGGAGCCCAGAAGAUCAUGGUCCUAAGGAGGCAAGAUGAGAAAAGAGCGAAACCAGAAGAUGACCUACAUCUUAUUUUACACAACCUACAGCAAAGCUCUGCACCUCAGCGGGAAACAAAGACCUAAAAUUUUGGAAUAAACCUAGCUCAGCACAAAUAUGAGUUUGCAAAAUAACAGGUUUGGAGUGUAACAUUUGAAUAGAACCAUUUUGCAAACAGGGCCUAGCCCACACUAGCCAGAGAGAUAACCAAACCAUGUGCCUCAGCAAAAAAGUGAUAAAUAAAAAGAGGGUGGAUUGUGAGGGGUAAAAUAAUGUUUUGCUUCAGCCAUAAGAAUGUAUACUUAAUGUCAUGUAGGCAAAGAUGUAGCUAGCAGGAGGCUAGGUCUUGGGAGGGAGUGUGGCAGGGAGGAAAAGGGGAGUUAACUGAUAUUUAUUCCAGGGGAGAGUGGAGGAGCUGUUGGUUUGAGUGCAGUACAGCCUGAAGUAGUGUAAGUUCCUGAGUACCCAGGCAGUGGGAGAGAGGACAGGGACACCCCUGGCUGGGGAAGGGCAUAAAGGUUUGUACAUUUUAGGGGGAGGUGUGCCUCCUCAGUGAGAUGCACCUGUCACAGCUGCUGUGUUUAUAUUAAUAAAUAGUUUUGCUUCAAAGA